rnacentral:rRNA from 1 species
UACAGAGGGUGCGAACGUUGCUCGGAAUUACUGGGCGUAAAGCGCGUGUAGGCGGAUCCGCAAGUCAGAUGUGAAAUCCCCGGGCUCAACCCGGGAACUGCAUCUGAAACUGCGGUUCUCGAGUGUCGGAGAGGGCGGCGGAAUUCCUGGUGUAGAGGUGAAAUUCGUAGAUAUCAGGAGGAACACCGGUGGCGAAGGCGGCCGCCUGGACGACUACUGACGCUGAGACGCGAAAGCGUGGGGAGCAAACAGG